UUGUUUUCCCCUCCACGCGCGCGCGCGCGCACAGGCACACACACCACGCAUGCAGGCACAUACCCACACACCCCCCACACGCACUCUGGCUUUCUCUCUUCUUCUCCCUCAUGCACACGCACUCACUUUCAUACACACACACACAGAAACACACACACACACACACACAACAUUCCCUGCCAUAGCGCGUGUGUGUGUCGGUGCAGCGAGUUACAUGUGAAAAGUUGCCUGUGGCAUGUGUGACACGCGAGGAGAUUCCUGCCAACAUCAGGGCCCUUUUUUGCCAUGCAGCAACAAGUGGCAGAAUCAAUGGUGUACAGUUAUUCAGCAAUGUAAUUCAUUUCACUGGCUUUGGCUCCCAGCCAGAUCCGCCAUCUGUCUCUUGCUCUCCCUCUCUCUCUCUCGCCUGAAUUUGUCCUACAUUUCGUAAUGUUACGUGCUUACCAUCCUUAUUCUAUGCCAGAGGUACAACACAAGCCUCACCCCCGUUCCAGCGUGGAGUUCUGUGAGUUCGGUGGCACUUUGGAUAUUCCACUUCAGUGCCAUAGGAAGAAAAGGGUAAGCAAAAAACAGAGUGAUAGCUGCAAAGAGAAUGGUGCUCUUCUAUCUGAAAGCCAGUGCCUCCGCUUUUUAUUUAAAGCAUUGAUAUGGAUCUGUCUCACAUGGGAACUUUUCCUGCUUCGUUAGAGUAUCUUCGUUUUCUUUAUUGGAUGCUGGCACUGUACGCCACUGCACAGCUCUGUGGAAUGCCUGCUGUUGGAUACUUGCAGAUCCCUGCCACCAAGCAACCUCCUGCAUUGGAAAUCGGGUGACUACUCCAGGAUCUUAUGCGUGCUUGCUGUUUGAAGCUGCAGAAAAGUGAAUAAUCAAUUAAGUAUUGAUUUCUUGUAAGAUUUGGUAAAUUUCAAAGGCAAGACAAAGAGGAUGGCUUAAGGAAAGCACUGCAGGGACUUGGCGUAAAUUAGACAACUAACAGCAGUGCAGAAUAAAAUAACACCUCAACUGAAUAUUUCCUUGGAAGAAUUAGCACUAGCUAUUGGAAGACGAUGGUGGAUUUAAUCAAGACGGCAAGCACGCUUGAGUUUUAACCGUGAACCUGAAAGAGGAGCUAAUUAUAACCACCUUUUUAUAUGGAGCUAAUUUGACUGAAUGGAUGCAAAUGUGCUUUAUUUAUGGAUGAAGAAGCAAGCCUUACAGCAUUGACUUUGGGAUCAUCGCAUAUGCUAAGCUUUACAGCUUCUCUAAAAGUCAAGCCUACAGUACAUUUUUAUUUACUGAGAAGGCACAAAGGAGAUAGAAAUGAUUUUUAAAAGAAGCAAAUAUGUAGAUAUGCAAACCAGGAGAAGACAAAAUAGAUUGACACUCAGAAGUGGCUUUUGCACUGGCUUUUUAUAAAUAUUAAGAGUUAAAUCUUUCUUUCCAAGGUGAAGCUUCAGUGCUCUCCCAUCUUAUAGUUUCUUCAGUGGUAUGUCUUUUGAGACACUGUAUCUGUAAUCUCUGUGCACAUUGCAGUAAUUUACAACGAACAAUUGGAGGUUUUGUGCAAGAUUUUUUAGUUUUGCUGAAGACUUUGCCGAGAGAGUGUAAUCCAUUGAAACAUGCUAUAUUCCCUACUUUGGCAGGCCAAUAAAAAGUUCAUGUUUUCCUUAAUAAAAUAAAUAUGGUUUCAGUACCAAGAGCUUUCACAUGGCAAAGCUUUUAAUUUAAUUGCCUGGAUUGAGUUAGCUAUUUUCAGUUUCAAGCAGUCUUUCGAUUACUAAAGACAAAAUUGUAAUAACUAUAAAUAUUGUUAGAUAAUGAAUAAACUGGGUAUGCACAAAAAUGCCUCAGA